UCCUGACGUCGGCCCAUCAUCAUCUGCAGUCAUUUUUUGUUUGGAUUGGUUAGAUGCCAAGCAUAGUCGCUCACAUGUCUUAUACGCUCUCAGUAUUAGUGCACGGAUCAGACCAUCAAUACCAUAGGUACUCUUCUCGUUUCCUCAAAUCUGCUAUGAAAUUGUAGAUUACAAAAGACACCUGAUAUUACAGUUUGUGUACCUCAAAUGAGUGAGACUGGCCAUUCAUUUGUUUUGAAUUUUCUUCUAAUCAAUUCAAUCUGCAAGGUUAAGUGUUGACACAUGGAACUUUGAUAACAUGUCAUAUUUUACUGGGAUGCUACAUUACCUCGAUACACAUAAGUUCUGCAAUUGAUUAUUGACUUUCCGAAACAUCAAUUUCACCUUUAUAUAUUUUCAUUGUGACUUUCUGACAUGUAAUGAAUCUCAAUCCACUACUAAAUUAUCUACUUAUUUCAGUACGAUCAGUUUAUAUUUCAGUGGUUCAAUUAUUGGGCUAUCAAUACACGUGCAUUUACAAGUCCAGCAAUGAGCAUUAGAGGAGCAACUAAUGUACAGGCUGGUAGGCAACAUCGUCUGUGUGGGCUUUGUUGACGGCUUCUGCCGCGAGUGCCACCCUUAAGUCCAGUACUGAUGUGAGUGCUGCCCCUGCAAGGUCUGCAAUGAGCAGAUACAGAUUUUGCGCCAAGUUUGUUUCUAAUUCCGUGUGCACUGAGGAAGAUAUCUGUGAUGGCGUUGUACGCAGAGACAAAACGAGAGAAGCCACAAGCAGGCGCGCAUCAGCCGCAAGAAAGAACAGCUAUACUACUGGCAGGUUUCCUUUCAUUUUUUCAUGUGUGGUAACCACUAUGACUUAUGUGUCUGAAGAGCUAUUUCAAUUGCACAUGUUGGCAAAAUUGUAGUUUUGGCAUGCCACCGAGGUGAGUAUACCUACAGAGUUUCAAGCAAGUACUUAGAAUUCACUAUACCAUUCACAUUGUCUUUUUCCAUAGUGAUGCUGAAAAUGAAAUUUAUAUUUGCAGGUUCCAUAAAUCAGCAAGACUUGAGAUAUUCACAUAUUAGCAUUGAUCUUAUGAG